CUGCUAAUAACUAAUAAAUUGUAAAAUGCUUAAAAAUUAAUUUUUCCACUUCCGUUGAGAAACUAGAGUAACUAUCCUCACUUUAAUUUUCUAGUGGUUCAAAUCAAUGUUUAAUUACAAUGUAAAGAUAAUUCAAAACUAUCAUUCCGUUAUUCAUGGAACUUCCCACCUGUUAUUAUUAUUGGUUUAAUAUAAGUAAUUUUUUUUUUGUUUAUCUAAGUAAAUUGAUUAGAGAAUGUCCUACCUAUAUAGUGUUGGUUUUCUUGACGAUGAUAAAGAAUCAAAAGAGGUGGUCAUAGAAAAAAGUCAUCAAGUUAUUCAGAUGAGGAACCUUUAAGUAGGUUUUUUAAAAGAUAAGUUACAGUAAAAAUCAGUUAUAAUGGUUAGAAGGGGUGAAGGGUAAGAUACAUAGGCCAUCAGUGAUGAUGAAGGAGCUGGGGUGGGACACUCUACACAGAAGGAGAAAAUAGAGGGAUUGGUGAAGUUUCUUAGUUUGACAAUUGGUGAGGGGGGCUGGGGGAUGCUGAGAGACAGUUUGAACAGAGGGGUGAAUAGAGAGAGGCAGGAUCAUGGGUGGAAGAUUCAAAGAGAGUGGAGUAGAACAGAAAUAGGGAGGCAAGUAUUACUGGUGGGGAAAGGAAGUGAGUGGAAUAGGAUUGAGGGAAAGAUCCUGGAUGUCAGAAGAGGAAAGGACUUGAGGAAGAGGCUUUGGAAAUUGGGCGAGUAGAGGGAGGACUCCUUGCCACUGGGUGGAAGCCCUAUCACAAGUGUAACAAUCAAUCAAUCACCCGAUACACACAAUUUUGUGUAGACUAAAUAUUUUUGGGGUAAGCCAUGUGUUUAUUAAGUUGUUUAAAAGGUCAGCAAGGGUUGAUGGGUGGAAUGAAGAGAAAUGUAUCUCUUAUUAUCGUACAUUAAGAGGUUCAGCAUUUCAGUGGUAUGACAGUUUUGAGAACCCUUUAGAAAAUUUGAAAAACUUUGAAGAGCUAGCUAAUGCAUUAAGGUCAGAAUUUGUACGAGUAGGCCAUGUAGAAGACCUAGAACUGAGAUUACAAUCUAGAGUACAGAAUAUUAGGGAACCAUUCUAAUCUUUUGUAUAUACUUUUGUGUGCUAGACUUGACGCAAAGAUGUCUGAAUCCUCUAAACUUAGAUAUCUGUUAAGAGAAAUAAAACCAGAAAUUGUUGAAAAAGUUAUGCUUUUCCCCAAACAGAACUGUUGAAUAGCUGUUAGAAAACUUUUGAGGUUACAAAUGUUGAGAGCAUGAAGCCAUUUUACACUUGAAACUAGAUGUAAUGGUGUUUCUGGACUCCGUUAUGAUCUCUGGAAAUGUUUUUUAUAGGUGCAGUUUCAUUUCAAAUCUGUAGUUUCACCUUGCUUCAAGUGAUUGUUUUGUGAUUAUUGUUUUGUGUUUAUGGUUCAAUUUUCAGCUGGUUCAUUUGAAGUCUUAAUGCAUUGACAUGGUGGUUUUCUUUUCUCCUUGGAAAGAACAUGAUUAAUUAACAAUCGUCUUUAAGCAUGUUACAGAACCCCUGUCGUGAAUGCACUACAAGGAUGAAGUCCAUGAUCGGGUGGAGCUUGCUGGUGAUGAUGUACUUUGGUGGCGACAUUUCAUCGCAGCAUUUACACCCCAGGGCAUUUGGAAUAAUCGCAGGCGCCCACUUCGAGCCGAUACAAUUGGUGACGCUAUAUACUUUGUCCGUACCUUUAAAUUUUAAAAUUUCUUGGCCUUCACAAUUGACUGAUAUACAAGAAGGAAUCAGAAUGCUGAGUUUGAGUCAAACGAAUGGUUCAUAAGAUUGGUGCAGUAUUAUUAAAGAGCUUAAACAUGCAAUUACAUUUGCUGAUAUGCUAAGUUAAAUGAACCUGCUGGAGAAGUCUUUGUCAAUAAUAGUUGAAGUGAAAAGAGAGGGUUGACAUUUUUAGGUAACUUUUUGAACUGGUGUUGUGAUGUGGUAAUGUCUAAUCAGGUUGGAAACUUGUUUCUGAAUGAACAUCAGGUAACAACAUGUCAACAUGCUCCGAGCUUUUUAGCUGUUGAUGGAGAAAUUUUGGUUACUAUACAGGGGCGAAAUUUGCUAGAUUGCCUUCCUUAUUAUAAAAGUUUAUGUUUUGUUCCAAGAUUUUCAGGUGACAGCAUGGGAAGCAGCCUGUGUCCUAAGUCUCUGUUCUAAGUUUCUGUUCUGCUACGCACCCCCAUUACAAUAUAUUUAAUUCCUUAUUGAACAUCAGGUAAAAUAAUUGUUGACUUCACUCCACAGCUACACUGUUAGAAAUUACUGUAAAUUUACGGACUUUAAACUAGGAAAACUUCUAAAUACACAAAGGGUUCUUCGUAGUUUCAGAUAACUGGAUAUUCAUAGAAACUAUGAUGGAUUCCGACUUCCAGAGUUCUGUGUUCUGUUUUAAACAAGGUGUGCAGCCGCCGGUCCCGAAGCAAAGCCCACCUUGCGUGAUGGAGGUGUUCAUGAGUAUGGGGUUGCCGGCCCACGAGACGGGCUCCCCGGCGCUGCUGAAGUUCACAACCAGAUGACCGAGGUAUUUGGUGUAGGCGCCCGCCUGCACCACCAGGACCUUCCUCCCGUCGUCGUGCUCCACCACGGUGGGGUACGGUCCUCUGGAGACGUCUCCGCCCGGGGGAGUUCCUGCCGACAGACAGGAGCUCCUGGGACUUUCCCGGCCAUUUAGUUAAAGUUAAAAAGAUGUUUUAGGGAGGCGACGAACCCGUGAAGAGGAGCGAGUGCGAGUGGCCGCCUACGAUGACGUCCAGGUCGGGCACCUUCCUUGCCACCUGCUGGUCGAUGUCGUAGCCGGCGUGCGAGAGAGCGAUCACCACGUCGACCCCUCGCGCCUUGAGCUCUUCCACCUCGGCGCCCACCGCCUCCGCCUCGUCCAGGAACCUCAGCCGGCCCGUCGCGGCGAUCUCCUGCCAUGCGCCGCGGACUGACCAGCGCGUCGUGCGGCAGCAUGUUCAUGAACCGGGCCGUCACGUUCCAGCGGAACAGCGUGUACCACAGGGUGCCUUGGAACACGUCGCCGGCGUUCAGGAGGACGCUGUUCUCCGGUCGCUCGGCCAGCAGUCGCAGCACCUCCGUGCGGACCCUGGCGAUUCCGCCGACGCAGGAGUCCUCCCUGCCCUCGGGGCACGCCCCCGAGCUCCAGCUGGUCUCCUCGAAGCGGGCAUGGAAGUCGUUCCAGUGGACGAUGGACAGCUCGAACAGCUCGUCGUCCGCAGGCGCUCCUGGAGAGGGCGAUCGCGUUUUUUUUAAAGAUUCACACGUCUUUGGUCACGUUGUAAAAAAAAUGACCAGAGUGAAUUUUUACGAUGCAACGGAAGUUUCACAGCGAACAAAAAAAAAACGGCAUAAAAAAUACAAAUUUUAUAUGUGCUUUUAAAUCAUAUAAUUUAGUGAUUGAAACUGAAAACUGGUCCAUAUAUAUUAAAAAAAGCAUUUAUUUAUUGUGAAUAUUAGUGAAAGCAAUUGUGUUUGUAAACAUUUUUCAAGUGUGUUUGUGUAAGUAAGGUUAUGUUCUCUCGUAUGUACAACGAUGUCAAGGUUGCUUGUAAGCUUCCAGGGAGUGUUUCUGGAAGGUUUAGUAGUCUCCUGGCCAUUUUCAAGGGAGUGUUUGCGAGGUUAUGUUCCCGUGUGUAAAAUUUAUUUGAAUUAAAAUUAUUAUUACAUUA